CUCCCUUUAUAAGGUUUCACAGCCUUGACUUCAUUUGGGUGGUUGCAUUUCAUUCUCACAGUUCAAAUCAUGGUCACAAAAGUUAAUCUUUUCAACUCAGAUGUAACAGUUCUCUGCAGCUGUGGAGUUUACCUUUAAGAUUCACCUUGUUAUCUAUUCUAGCCCAUAGGAGGGGGAUGUUCAGGGUCAUGGGAGUGAGUGUUGGCAAUGGUCCUUUUUAUCUUGACACUUUUAAGAUCAGGAGGCUUCAGUCUCUGUGGGAGCUCAAGACCUUGAUGUGCCCUGUUAUCUCAGGGUCAGACCAAAUGCCUCAUUCAGCAAUUAGUGCCUUCGGAGCCUAUUACUUCUGAGCUAAACAAACAAACUGCUGUUAGGGACAGCAGAAGCCACUUUACAUCAUAACACUUUAUAGGUUUUUGCUAUUUAUAAAAGUUUUCCCUAUCAUACCUACAGUUCCAACAAGAGGGGAAACCACCUCUUUGUACAGAAUUGAGUAGCUAUGGGCUAUGUUAUUGGACAACUAUGGGCUAACUGGGUAACUAUGCUCUUUGUGGAAUGCACCAGAGUGGCCAUGACAACUUUUGUAAUCUGUCACCAAAGGAGCAUAAUAGACUCAGAAGGCCCUGUCAGACCCCCCCCACACACCCCACUCUGCUUUGUGUACAUCCUGCUUGCUCUAUUGUCACGGAAACUCCAGGGAAACCGGUGAAGCCCUGAAAUUCCCUCAGCCCUGUCACAAGGCCAAGGGUUUAGAUGAGAAAGUGAAACUGGCUUAGCAGCUCCUCAGCAGAGCUGACCCCUGUGAGCUCCAAGUGCAAAGACCAGGGGCUCUGUGCAGGAUGAUGCAUUAAUUCCACAGCCUCUGGGGGAGUUCACGCGAGCACAUGAACACCCCCCCACCCCCACACUCCCAUCCUUUGAAACCAUGCCUGGCCUGUGGAAAUGAAUAGACUUUAGCCCAAUCAUGUGCUGCUCUCUUUGGUCUGGGGUCAACAGCUUGGCUCCUCUCUCUGGAUCAACGCUGGGUCCUUUCAGCGGAAGCCCCAAUCUGGCUGCCCACCCCCGACAAGCUCUGCCUACACAGGGGCCUGUGUGCUUGUGGUAUCUGUCUCAGUCUUGUUUCUACUGACUCUGGGUCUAAAGACUCUGCUGCCGAGCAGCAACUAUGAAGGUCCCUUCCAGAGGGAGACAGCAGGGCCAGAGGGUGACAAGGGCAUGGGAUGCAGGAACAGAGGGUGAAGCAGGGGCCAUCAGCCAAGGAAUGAGCAAAGAAAUGGAUUCUCAGCAAGGCGUGGUAGAAACUCCUAUAAUCCUGGAAGCUGAGGCCAGCCUGAACUACACAGCGAGACCCUGUCUCAAAAUAAAUAAAUAAAUAAAAUAAAAUUUUAAAAAAAUUUAAAGGAAAUGGACGGCC
rnacentral:lncRNA from 1 species